GGCGGUGUAGUGCAGAGGUUAGCAUCUCCUUUUCCCAAUCACUAGGCAGGGCCUCCAAUCCAACCGGGUUGGCGGUCUGUGAGUCCGAAUGUUGGAUCGAGAGGAGGACAUUGGUUCGAAUCCGAUCACCGCCA
rfam:Exophiala sideris strain CBS 121828 unplaced genomic scaffold supercont1.2, whole genome shotgun sequence.